GGAGACUGGACAGGAGGUCUGUCUCACAAGGGGAUUCCUCCUGUCAGGAGCAUUUUUCUGUGAGACCAGAGGCAGCACGCUGAUGGAGCAGAGCAUGGUCUCGUUUGCUGGUUUGCUGUGGAAUCUUGGAGAAUCAGGGAUGCACACUGCCACUGAUAAAACAUGACCCCUCUGAGAGAGGGGAUGAGGAGCAGCUUCUUGCAGUUUGUAAAGAGCUGGCAGAGUAAUUAUUGGAGGUUCAAGGUACUUCUGAAUGUCUAACCUUUGGUAUUUGGCUUGAAAUGCACUUGGAGAAGAGCCCAAAGGAUUCUGUUCUCUGUAAUGCUGCUAGACUCCAGGACCACAAGCUUCCCAUUCUCCCCUCCCUUCCACCCAAAGGUGGCCAAAGAGGAGAAUUCAAAAGGGAAAAAAAUCUCAUGUUGAGAUAAGAACAAUUUACUGGAAGCAGAAAUGAGGCUCAGCUCUGAUUGCACCAAAUCUUUGCCUAAUCUUGCCACUUAGCUUGGAUCCAGCCCUGAUUGACCUAACAUUAAGUAGAAAAGUAAUCUUACACUGAAGUAAAAGGAGAAAAGUGAUACAGUGGCUCCCAAGGACAACUCCCCAGGACAACAGAACCAGGGAGGUUUGUGACAGACCGUGAGCCUUUGGUGUAAUAUUGUAGCCUAGAGGGUUUUUUCUAGUUUUGUUUUCUUUAGAGCCUUACCUUGACAAUGUGUACAGGACUUUGAGGUGCUACAACUAGAAUUUAAGCAGCUCAGUGCCAUGAGGCCGUACUCACCUGUGGAGCCAUUUUAAGGGCUUUGUAAUUGUCAGUGGUAGAAGCACCAGGUAAUCUGAGCUUUUAUAACUGCAAGUUGGAUCCAGGAAACUGUC